rnacentral:rRNA from 1 species
GACGAACGCUGGCGGCGUGCUUAACACAUGCAAGUCGAACGGAAAGGCCCUGCUUUUGUGGGGUGCUCGAGUGGCGAACGGGUGAGUAACACGUGAGUAACCUGCCCUUGACUUUGGGAUAACUUCAGGAAACUGGGGCUAAUACCGGAUAGGAGCUCCUGCUGCAUGGUGGGGGUUGGAAAGUUUCGGCGGUUGGGGAUGGACUCGCGGCUUAUCAGCUUGUUGGUGGGGUAGUGGCUUACCAAGGCUUUGACGGGUAGCCGGCCUGAGAGGGUGACCGGCCACAUUGGGACUGAGAUACGGCCCAGACUCCUACGGGAGGCAGCAGUGGGGAAUAUUGCACAAUGGGCGGAAGCCUGAUGCAGCAACGCCGCGUGCGGGAUGACGGCCUUCGGGUUGUAAACCGCUUUCGCCUGUGACGAAGCGUGAGUGCCGGUAAUGGGUAAAGAAGCACCGGCUAACUACGUGCCAGCAGCCGCGGUGAUACGUAGGGUGCGAGCGUUGUCCGGAUUUAUUGGGCGUAAAGGGCUCGUAGGUGGUUGAUCGCGUCGGAAGUGUAAUCUUGGGGCUUAACCCUGAGCGUGCCUUCGAUACGGGUUGACUUGAGGAAGGUAGGGGAGAAUGGAAUUCCUGGUGGAGCGGUGGAAUGCGCAGAUAUCAGGAGGAACACCAGUGGCGAAGGCGGUUCUCUGGGCCUUUCCUGACGCUGAGGAGCGAAAGCGUGGGGAGCGAACAGGCUUAGAUACCCUGGUAGUCCACGCUGUAAACGGUGGGUACUAGGUGUGGGGUCCAUUCCACGGGUUCCGUGCCGUAGCUAGCGCUUUAAGUACCCCGCCUGGGGAGUACGGCCGCAAGGCUAAAACUCAAAGGAAUUGACGGGGCCCCGCACAAGCGGCGGAGCAUGCGGAUUAAUUCGAUGCAACGCGUAGAACCUUACCUGGGUUUGACAUGGAUCGGGAGUGCUCAGAGAUGGGUGUGCCUCUUUUGGGGUCGGUUCACAGGUGGUGCAUGGCUGUCGUCAGCUCGUGUCGUGAGAUGUUGGGUUAAGUCCCGCAACGAGCGCAACCCUUGUUCACUGUUGCCAGCACGUUAUGGUGGGGACUCAGUGGAGACCGCCGGGGUCAACUCGGAGGAAGGUGGGGAUGACGUCAAGUCAUCAUGCCCCUUAUGUCCAGGGCUUCACGCAUGCUACAAUGGCUGGUACAGAGAGUGGCGAGCCUGUGAGGGUGAGCGAAUCUCGGAAAGCCGGUCUCAGUUCGGAUUGGGGUCUGCAACUCGACCUCAUGAAGUCGGAGUCGCUAGUAAUCGCAGAUCAGCAACGCUGCGGUGAAUACGUUCCCGGGGCU